GCCUGGUGUUUAGUCUGGGAAAGUUGUUUGCUUGCUGUUUUUGCAGCUGUGGGUGUUGGGCAGAAAAGGCUUAAAUGGCGCGGAUUCCUGCUUCUGCAGGCUGGAGGGAGGGACAGUGUGUCCUCAGUGCGGAGGCUGGCGGCAGGACGGGACAUGAGACGGCUCUGGGGAGCGCUGCCUGGGAGAGACGCCUGGAGGCUGGCAGAUGGAGCUGAAGGAGGACCCAGAGAACUGGGUCUGGAUCCAGCUUUUCUGAGCCUUGAGGCUAAACCAAGGUUUGGGCAAGAGGACACAGCUUCUGGAUGGCGGUAAGGGGCAGGAACCUCCCCAAAACUGCAAUUUUUUGAGAUAAGAAGCCAAUGAGGAGGUCUGAUCCUACUUAUUGGAGUCAAGGGGCCUGGCAUGUUUUUGAUGUUACAUCAUGCCCAGGGCAAGACCUUACUCCAGUCUUGGAAAGCACGAGCAGUGAUGUAACUUGUCUCCACGGACUCUGAUCCCAGCAGAAUUCAGAGCACUUCAGUUUCAUUGCCUGGGUCAUCUCCAUGUGUCAUCUACAAUAUUCUCACCCAGGCGUGGCUCCGCUGAGGUUGCACUCAGCGGUAGGGUUGGCUGGUCCCUCUGCUAUUCCUGCUCUUUGGCACAGUCCCGAACCUCCCUUCCUCUCUCUUCCACGCUCAGGAAUUCAUGCAAUAUUGACCGCCUUCCCGGAGCCGGUUCCCGUUGCCAGUUCCGUGGCUGAGGUCUACAGCUCGAAAAGAGGUGGGUCCUCUGGGCCAAGGAUUGCAUCGCAAGCCGUUGAGUCCUGGGGCUUAAGGAGACACAGAUAAGCAGCGUGCUUAUCAGGAGCCUGCCGCUGGGGUACCUGCUCCAGCCCCAUCGUGAGCGAACAUGUUUUACCACCCAGCUGCAGGGAGCUGGGAGCAUGCGCGCGGCCGGGCAACACGGCUCAGCUGGUGCGUGGUAACUCGUGAAGCCGCAGCAACUUUAUCACUUCGCAACAUCCAUACAUAGCCACAGCCUUGAGUCUUCUCAGGGGAAGAAAGGAUGAUGAGUUACUGUCCUGGGAUUUUUGCUCUGUCUCCAGUCAGUGGGAAGUGGUAUGCGGAGCAUUCAUUUAAUAAACCAGAGGGGAAAAGCUGUAGAUCAGCUUCUCAUUAUUUCAGUGCUGGCUCACGCCAUCGCUUGGGUUUGUGCCUGACAGUUCAGUGUGUUAUUUGAGGCCACUCGAGCAUUCUGCAGAAAUGAUGCCACCCUCUUCUGAAAGUGUGGGGUUCGUCCAAGCAGGGAGGGCCUGCCUCCCUUGGUAGUUUUAUUGGUGCCAAUUCCAUCUCAAUUUUAGGUCUCAGUGUGCAAAGGAGGUGCCCACUUUGGAGAUCAGUUCAUGUCGAGAGCCACUGCUCCAGCAGGAAACCUUCUGGAGAUGGUUCUUCUGGUCUAGACCUCUGGAGUAAGGCAACUCUAGGUCCAGAGCAUGCUUUUGAGCUGGGAGCCCUACCUGGAGCUGAGGUGGGGAUACAGCACCCCAUGCUGACCUACUGUCCUGCUGGAGCAGAGCUUGUGACCAUGCUGUGAGCUAGAAGAGCCAGGCAAAUCCUGGGGGCACGCCAGAAGAUGCCAUGGGAUGCCUUUCUACCUAGUCAAGCAGAUCAAGCAGCCGGCACUCGAGACACUGACGGGCACUACCAAAAUGCCGAGCACCCAGAGCCGGCCGCACACGGACGUGACCACACCAUGGGCAGAGCACAGGCAAGGCUCGCGCUCGGCAGGAUUUCCUCUUCUUGCUAUCUCCUUGCUGUGUCUUGCAAGACUGCAAGGAAAUGCGUCGCCAAUAAUCAGCUGUCUCCAACCAGUUCAGCAUUGCUGGGGCGUUUGUGCUGGCUGCGGGUGGAAGGACUGAUCUUGGAAGGAAACUCCGUGUGAAAUCCCCAGCCUGCUCUGCAGAUGCACGUGCUGGGCCAUUUCUGGACAAGCUUUCAGCUGCUACAGCAGGGGAGCUGGAAGAAGUGGGGAGAGCCCUGAAAUCUUCCCUGAGCUGUCUCAGAAGGACUGGACUAGCCUGAAAGCCACCAGAGCCACAGCCCAGCAGCACAGUUUGGGACACAGGCAUCCCACACUCAGAAUCCAGCAGUGCUGGGGAGUGGAUCCAGUGUCACCAGGAAAGCUGUGACCUCAACAAGCCACGCAGGCUCCUUCCUGUGCAGUAAGUAAUGCCCGUAAGAAAGAGAAGUUUUCCGAGGGUCCUAAGAGGUUGGAGCAAAGUCCUGAGCUGCUGCCGCAUGUAUGGGAACAGCAGUGAGGUCCCUGAGUGUGCUCCCAAACCCCAGUGUCCCCGCACUGAGCGGGUCCCUAUGGGAACACAGUGUUUUUCCCAGUCCCACCAGCAGCACAGUGGGACCCAAGCAGCUCUCCCUCCCAGGGCUGCACGUCCUUGCCGGGGCGAGGAGCAGCACAGAAGAAGUGAGUGCUGCCAUGGCACACCAAGCUGUGGCUGAAGGAGUAUUCGGAUACCCUGGGCUGCCAAUUCAGAACUUUCCUAAAACCAGCAGUAAAAUUCGCCUCCGAUUCCUUUUUAGGAAAAGAAGGCUGUAGUAUAAAGUCCCAUUUUCUAGGCAUUAAAAGUUUACAGUCUGCACCAUUAAAAGCAGCAUUCUGUGUCAAACUUUAAUGUUUGGUCUUCAGGAACAGCUAGGAGGAAAAGAGAAGGUUCCCUGUUUGUUCUACAAAACAGGAAAGUGCUUGCUUUCUAUACUGUAAAUAUGCAUUAGGGAAGCUCUUAUAGGCUCGUGCUGGGGAUUUGAUGUUUUUAACUGACUACAUUCCUUACAUUUUUGUAUAACUGCCAAGAAAGCUAAAUAAAAUGGCUUUUUUAGUGUUUUCUCUAAGAAUAGCCCUGCUUCUUUGUAAAUAUAGCAAAGGAAUUGUUGAUAAUAAUUCUUUGGGAGAAUAACUGGUGUUAUUGAUGUUACAAGUAGAAAGAUUGCUGUUUCUCUGUCUCAGAAACACAGCUAACCAAGCGGGCUGGGACUUCAGAAAGCCUGAGCAUUCCUUAGCCAGUUACUGAGAUUAGACUGGUUUCAUUCCUGUGCCAGAAGGUGUAGAAAUCAGA